rnacentral:rRNA from 1 species
ACGGGUGAGUAAUGUUUGGCAACCGACCUUUUGGAGGGGGAUAACUACUGGAAACUGCUGAUUUACCGACUAAUAUCGAAAGAUUUGGGUGCGGGACCUUUGGGGCACUUGCCCUUUGAUGACCCUUAGUGGGAUUAUGUAGUUGGGGAGGUCAAGGCUCACCAUACCAACGAUCUCUAGCUGGUCUGACAGGCUGACCGGCAGCAAUGUGACUGCCUCACUGCCCAGACUCCCCUCGGACGCAGCAGUGGGGAAUAUUGCGUAGUGGGGGCAACCCUGACUCAAUGCUGCAACGCGGAUGAAGAAAUGCUUCGUGCUGUAAAGUUCUUUCGGUAGCGAGGAAAGCAUUUAGUUUAAUAGACGGCUUGAUUGACGUUAACUACCUAAGAAGCACCGGCUAACUACGUGCCAUCAGCCGCGGUAAUACGUAGGGUGCGAGCGUUGUCCGGAAUAAUUGGGCGUAAAGAGUACGCAAGCGGCGACUUACGUGACGUGUGAAAUCCUCGGGUUUUAACCCUGGGAAUUGCAUUUGGUACUGCGCCAGUUAGAGUUCAUUUUCGGAAGAGAUAGAAAUUCCACUGUGUAUCGAGUGAAAAUGCUUCAAAUGAUGCGGAAAAAAUACCCUAAGGCGAAGGCCGCCCCCUUGGGGAAUGUAUGUGUCGCUCCUG